rnacentral:rRNA from 1 species
UACGUAGGGUGCAAGCGUUAAUCGGAAUUACUGGGCGUAAAGCGCGCGCAGGCGGCCUUUUAAGUCUGCUGGUGAAAUGCCGGGGCUCAACCCCGUGCCCGCCACAGAUACUGGGAGGCUGGAGACGAGUAGAGGCAAGCGGAAUUCCGGGUGUAGCGGUGGAAUGCGUAGAGAUCCGGAAGAACACCGGAGGCGAAGGCGGCUUGCUGGGCUCGGUCUGACGCUGAGGCGCGAAAGCGUGGGGAGCGAACAGG